rnacentral:rRNA from 1 species
UACGUAGGGUGCGAGCGUUAAUCGGAAUUACUGGGCGUAAAGCGUGCGCAGGCGGCGCGUUAAGACAGGUGUGAAAGCCCCGAGCUUAACUUGGGAAUUGCGCUUGUGACUGGCGUGCUGGAGUGUGGCAGAGGGAGGUGGAAUUCCACGUGUAGCAGUGAAAUGCGUAGAGAUGUGGAGGAACACCGAUGGCGAAGGCAGCCUCUUGGGCCAGCACUGACGCUCAUGCACGAAAGCGUGGGGAGCAAACAGG